rnacentral:lncRNA from 1 species
CAUCCACACUAGAAGAUUCGGAACUCAUUCGCGAUAAUCCACCAUUCAUUAUUUUUUUUUGAAGCCAUGGAGUUUCGAUGCCAAACCUUGGGAAUCCCGCCACAUAGUGAAAGGUUUAAAACAACUCCAAAAAUUAUCACAAUUCAACUGGCAAUUCCACUAUUAUUUCAUUCCAAAUCCCACUAAAUCAACGCAAUUUUCACUACAACUCGAAUCAGCCAAACUCAAAACCCUAAAUUUAAAGGAUCCAAAUCGAACCUCGGCAAAAUCAGGUUGAUGACCCGGAUUGUGCUGAGAUUCGGGUCGGAUCUCGAUCUCUUUGUUGAUGAACAAGACCGUUUUUUUCGAAAUAUGAACUAAUAACAGCCCAGGCAUCCUCUUGAGUUAUAUCUUCUUCCUCAUCGUCGUAUCCUUGAUCGUACUCUUCUUCCAAACCCGUAGUCUAAUCGUUAUCAAAUCUAGAAGUCUGGUUCGAAUUUUUUGAAGGGUUUGUUAGGGUC